AAUUUUGCAACAAGAUCACCAGGGACAAUAAUGAGUAGUUCCAUUUCAAUUUCUAGACUUCAUUUCUGGUCUUGUGAAUCUUAGCUAUGGGGAAAAAAUGUACCACACAUCAGAUGCUGAGUUAGAGGAUGUAAAGCCUUCUGCUCCAAUCCUACAAGCAAAAGAAUUCAUUUCCCUGAUGCCUAAACAAUUUGUGGGUGGUAUUGAAGACUUCUGGUAAAAGAUCUUGAUCACUCCAGAACUUGAUGAAGAGAUGUUGGAAACUGCAUACUUUGGGGCAAAGAUGCAUAUGUUAUUACCAACUAUGAAAAGUCCUUAAACAUCAGUCUUCUUUACCAGAGAAAUCAUAAAAUAAAGUUAACAGUUCCACCUGUGAAGUUAUAUGGAUUCUACUUCUCACUAGCUGACAUUAGGUUAUUUAACUACAAGGACAGCAAUACUUGUCUCAAAGAAUUCUUGUUAAUAUUAAACAAGACAUUUAUGUGAA